rnacentral:snoRNA from 1 species
AGACCUGAAUCAAAAAUAUUCAGUGGGAUGGAGACCAAGAGUUCUUAAUGCUGUGACCAAAGGCGGAGAUUCUCCACGGAUGCCAUAGUCACUCAAUAGUGCUAUGAUUUUUUCCUGAGGAGAUACAAGG